rnacentral:rRNA from 1 species
UGCCAGCAGCCGCGGUAAGACGGAGGGUGCAAACGUUGUUCGGAAUCACUGGGCAUAAAGCGCACGUAGGCGGUCCAUUAAGUCGGAUGUGAAAGCCCUCGGCUCAACCGGGGAACUGCAUUCGAUACUGGUGGACUCGAGGAUGGUUGGGGUGAGUGGAACUCCUGGUGGAGCGGUGAAAUGCGUAGAUAUCAGGAGGAACACCAGUGGCGAAAGCGGCUCACUGGACCGUAUCUGACGCUGAGGUGCGAAAGCUAGGGUAGCAAACGGGAUUAGAUA